rnacentral:rRNA from 1 species
AAUAGAUACCCUGGUAGUCCACGCCGUAAACGAUGGAUACUAGCUGUUCGGAGUAAUCUGAGUGGCUAAGCGAAAGUGAUAAGUAUCCCACCUGGGGAGUACGUUCGCAAGAAUGAAACUCAAAGGAAUUGACGGGGGCCCGCACAAGCGGUGGAGCAUGUGGUUUAAUUCGAUGAUACGCGAGGAACCUUACCAGGGCUUAAAUGUAGAUUGACAGGUUUAGAGAUAGUACUUUUCUUCGGACAAUUUACAAGGUGCUGCAUGGUUGUCGUCAGCUCGUGCCGUGAGGUGUCAGGUUAAGUCCUAUAACGAGCGCAACCCCUGUUGUUAGUUGCCAGCGAGUAAUGUCGGGAACUCUAACAAGACUGCCAGUGCAAACUGUGAGGAAGGUGGGGAUGACGUCAAAUCAUCACGGCCCUUACGUCCUGGGCUACACACGUGCUACAAUGGUAGGGACAGAGAGCAGCCACUUCCGCGAGAAGGAGCGAAUCUAUAAACCCUAUCACAGUUCGGAUCGGAGU